rnacentral:tRNA from 1 species
GUUGCGUUGGCUGAGGAUUAAAGCGCUUGGCUUCCAAACAGUGGAUACCGGGUUCGAAUCCUGGUCAAAACA